GUGGGGAAUUUUGGACAAUGGGCGCAAGCCUGAUCCAGCAAUGCCGCGUGCAGGAAGAAGGCCUUCGGGUUGUAAACUGCUUUUGUACGGAACGAAACGGUCCUGGUUAAUACCUGGGGCUAAUGACGGUACCGUAAGAAUAAGCACCGGCUAACUACGUGCCAGCAGCCGCGGUAAUACGUAGGGUGCGAGCGUUAAUCGGAAUUACUGGGCGUAAAGCGUGCGCAGGCGGUGCUGUAAGACAGGCGUGAAAUCCCCGGGCUCAACCUGGGAAUUGCGCUUGUGCCUGCAGUGCUGGAGUACGGCAGAGGGGGAUGGAAUUCCGCGUGUAGCAGUGAAAUGCGUAGAUAUGCGGAGGAACACCGAUGGCGAAGGCAGUCCCCUGGGCCUGUACUGACGCUCAUGCACGAAAGCGUGGGGAGCAAACAGGAUUAGAAACCCGUGUAGUCC
rnacentral:rRNA from 1 species